rnacentral:tRNA from 1 species
UUUCCUUUAGUUUAUAUGAACAUAACUCUUUCAAUGUUAAAGAAAAAGGAAUA